GACGAACGCUGGCGGCGUGCUUAACACAUGCAAGUCGAACGGAAAGGCCCUGCUUUUGUGGGGUGCUCGAGUGGCGAACGGGUGAGUAACACGUGAGUAACCUGCCCUUGACUUUGGGAUAACUUCAGGAAACUGGGGCUAAUACCGGAUAGGAGCUCCUGCUGCAUGGUGGGGGUUGGAAAGUUUCGGCGGUUGGGGCUGGACUCGCGGCUUAUCAGCUUGUUGGUGGGGUAGUGGCUUACCAAGGCUUUGACGGGUAGCCGGGCUGAGAGGGUGACCGGCCACAUCGGGACUGAGAUACGGCACAGACUCCUACGGGAGGCAGCGGUGGGGAAUAUUGCACAAUGGGCGGAAGCCUAAUGCAGCAACGCCGCGUGCGGGAUGACAGCCUUCGGGUUGUAACCCGCUUUCGCCUGUGACGAAGCGUGAGUGACGGUAAUGGGUAAAGAAGCACCGGCUAACUACGUG
rnacentral:rRNA from 1 species